rnacentral:rRNA from 1 species
CCUACGGGCGGCGGGAGUGGGGAAUAUUGCACAAUGGGGGAAACCCUGAUGCAGCGACGCCGCGUGAGCGAUGAAGGAUUUCGGGAUGGAAAGCUCUAUCAGCAGGGAAGAAAAUGACGGUACCUGACUAAGAAGCCCCGGCGAACUACGUGCCAGCAGCCGCGGUAAUACGUAGGGGGCAAGCGUUAUCCGGAUUUACUGGGUGGAAAGGGAGCGUAGACGGCGUGGCAAGCCAGAUGGGAACGGCUGGGGCUCACCCCCAGGACUGCCUUUGGAACUGUCAUGCUAGAGUGUCGGAGAGGCAGGCGGCAUUCCUAUUGUAGCGGUUCACUUCUUAGAUAUUAGGAGGACCCCCAGUGGCGAAGGCGGCCUGCUGGACGAUGACUGCCGUUGAGGCUCGAAAGCGUGGGGAGCACACCGGCUUAGCUACCCGGGUAGUC